ACGAAUAUUGAAGAGGAUAAUGAAAAGAGAAAAAAAAACUGAUAUUUUUAUAGUUGUUCACCCUUUCUUCCUCACUUCGGGCUACAUCAACUAGUCUUGGUGAAAAACGUCUCCACCAAGGUCAUCCACUAAUAGUAACAAUGUUGAAUACAAAUGUGAUUACAAGAGUUCCUUGGAACAAUCCUAGUUCUUCAACUCCUAUGUAAGCACUUCCUUAAACUUCAAAUAACUUUUGAAUUUGGUGCUUCUUGAAUCUUCGAAUCCUUGAUUACCCAUGCACCCCUUCGAAUUGUUCACUAAAGUCUUCGAUGCUACAUCCGGUAAACGAAUCCUCUUCGAUUGCAAGAAAAAUUAGAAAGACGUCCAAGACUGUUUGGUAUUUGUAUUGGCUGCAUUGUUACUAAAACAAAUAUCCUUGUUUGUG
rnacentral:lncRNA from 1 species